CCUACGGGUGGCAGCAGUGGGGGAUAUUGCACAAUGGGGGAAACCCUGAUGCAGCAACGCCGCGUGUGGGAAGAAGGCUUUCGGAUUGUAAACCACUUUUCUUGGUGAAGAUAAUGACGGUAAUCAAGGAUCAAGCUCCGGCUAAAUACUUGCCAGCAGCCGCGGGAAUACGUAGGGAGCAAGCGUUGUCCGGAUUUACUGGGUGUAAAGGGUGCGUAGGCGGUCUUGCAAGUCAGACGUGAAAGCCACAGGCUCAACCUGUGGACUGCGUUUGAAACUGUGGGGCUUGAGUGAAGUAGAGGUAGGCGGAAUUCCCGGGGUAGCGGUGAAAUGCGUAGAGAUCGGGAGGAACACCAGUGGCGAAGGCGGCCUACUGGGCUUUAACUGACGCUGAGGCACGAAAGCAUGGGGAGCAAACAGGAUUAGAUACCCGGGUAGUC
rnacentral:rRNA from 1 species